GGACUAGCAGUUGGAACAAUUCCUGGUGUAACUUCUGAAUUCAGAAGGCCGAGGAUUUGCUGAUUUUUCAAAAUAAAGAUUAUGGGUCAGCUCGGAGUAUUGUCCGUGUUAUUGGAAGAAUGCUUCCUUUAGAGCCUUGCCGAAGACCUCGUUUUGAGACACAGUCUAUGGAAAAAGGCGGAAGGGAAAGCUGCUCUCUUCCAUCCUUCAAAACUACCUUGGGACCUGUCGUCCCCUGCUCUAAGUCAGAACAGAACAGUGGCCGAUGACCUUCCUGUAAGCGAAGCUGCCAUUAAAAAGAUAGCCGCCCUUGAA
rnacentral:lncRNA from 1 species